rnacentral:piRNA from 1 species
UUCUAGCCUGUGCUACUUACAGUGGCUGAA